CCUACGGGUGGCAGCAGUGAGGAAUAUUGGUCAAUGGACGAGAGUCUGAACCAGCCAAGUAGCGUGAAGGAUGACUGCCCUAUGGGUUGUAAACUUCUUUUAUAAAGGAAUAAAACGAGGCACGUGUGCCUUUUUGCAUGUACUUUAUGAAUAAGGAUCGGCUAACUCCGUGCCAGCAGCCGCGGUAAUACGGAGGAUCCGAGCGUUAUCCGGAUUUAUUGGGUUUAAAGGGAGCGUAGAUGGGUUGUUAAGUCAGUUGUGAAAGUUUGCGGCUCAACCGUGAAAUUGCAAUUGAUACUGGCAGUCGUGAGUACAGUUGAGGUAAGCGGAAUUCGUGGUGUAGCGGUGAAAUGCUUAGAUAUCACGAAGAACCCCGAUUGCGAAGGCAGCUUACUAAACUGUGACUGACAUUGAUGCUCGAAAGUGUGGGUAUCAAACAGGAUUAGAUACCCCUGUAGUC
rnacentral:rRNA from 1 species